GGCUUGAUGGCUGAGAGGUAAAGUACUUGGCUUCUAACCGAAGGGUCCCAAGUUCGAAUCCUGGUGAAGACC
rnacentral:tRNA from 1 species